rnacentral:rRNA from 1 species
UAGUAUUAGUUGUGUUCUUGAAACUUAAAGAAUUUGGCGGUAUCCUACUCCGUUCAGAGGAAUCUGUCUCGUUAUCGAUAGUCCGCGUUGGACCUUACUUAGGGUUAGUUUUGGUUUGUAUACCGCCGUUUAUUGAUUAUCUUUUUAGAGUAUCAUGAAUUUUCUGGUUUCUUUAAUUUGAUUUAUUGCAGGUCAAGGUGCAGCUUUUUCUAAGUGUAAUGAUGGAUUACAGUGUUAUGUGUUGUUUGGAUUGUUUAUUUUAAUAUUGGCAUGAAAUUGGAUUUGGUUGUAAUGUUUUGUAAAUUGUUUUCGGAUAGUUGGUUCUAGGAUAUGUACACAUCCCCCGUC